UACGAAGGGGGCUAGCGUUGCUCGGAAUUACUGGGCGUAAAGGGAGCGUAGGCGGACAGUUAAGUCAGAGGUGAAAGCCCAGGGCUCAACCCUGGAAUUGCCUUUGAUACUGAUUGUCUUGAGUAUGGGAGAGGUAUGCGGAACUCCGAGUGUAGAGGUGAAAUUCGUAGAUAUUCGGAAGAACACCAGUGGCGAAGGCGGCGACCUGGUCCUUGACUGACGCUGAGGCGCGAAAGCGUGGGGAGCAAACAGG
rnacentral:rRNA from 1 species